UACGUAGGGGGCUAGCGUCGUCCGGAAUCAUUGGGCGUAAAGAGCGCGUAGGCGGCCAGAUAAGUCCGGUGUGAAAGUCACAGGCUCAACCUGUGAAUGCCGCUGGAAACUGUCUGGCUAGAGUCCGGGAGGGGCGAGUGGAAUUCCUGGUGUAGCGGUGAAAUGCGCAGAUAUCGGGAGGAACACCAAUGGCGAAGGCGGCUGCCUGGCCCCAAUACUGACACUCAGGUGCGACAGCGUGGGAGCAAACAGG
rnacentral:rRNA from 1 species